rnacentral:rRNA from 1 species
CCUACGGGUGGCAGCAGUGGGGAAUCUUGCGCAAUGGGCGAAAGCCUGAUGCAGCGACGCCGCGUGAGUGAAGAAGGUCUUCGGAUCGUAAAGCUCUGUUGUUAGAGAAGAACGUGCGUGAGAGUAACUGUUCACGAAUUGACGGUAUCUAACCAGAAAGCCACGGCUAACUACGUGCCAGCAGCCGCGGUAAUACGUAGGGUGCAAGCGUUAUCCGGAUUUAUUGGGCGUAAAGGGAGCGCAGGCGGUAGUUUAAGUCUGAUGUGAAAGCCUUGGGCUUAACCGGAGAAGUGCCUGGGAAACUGGGAGACUUGAGUGCAGAAGAGGACAGUGGAACUCCAUGUGUAGCGGUGAAAUGCGUAGAUAUAUGGAAGAACACCAGUGGCGAAGGCGGCUAUCUGGUCUGUAACUGACGCUGAGGAGCGAAAGCGUGGGUAGCAAACAGGAUUAGAUACCCCAGUAGUC